rnacentral:lncRNA from 1 species
UUUCCCUUAGCCAAAAAUGAAUUAUUUUGCCUCUGAGUUUAAAGCAUCCAUCAAAACAAUCACAAGGCAGAGCCAUCAGAAACCUAUACCUGAUUUUCAUGACAAAUACAGGAGUGCUGUAUUAGCGAGUGGAGCCACUCCUGUAUAUCUAUGCACAAACACUUCAACACAAAUUGGAAUACAGUGGAAACUGUCCCCUGUUAGCAAAGCCACUCCAAUGGAAUGGAAAAAUCAA